rnacentral:tRNA from 1 species
GGUGGUCAUAGCUCAGUUGGCAGAGCAUCGGAUUGUGGUUCCGAGUGUCGUGGGUUCGAGCCCCACUCUCCACCC